rnacentral:rRNA from 1 species
ACACUGAGGAGCGAAAGCGUGGGGAGCGAACAGGAUUAGAUACCCUGGUAGUCCACGCCGUAAACGGUGGGCGCUAGUUGUGCGAACCUUCCACGGUUUGUGCGACGCAGCUAACGCAUUAAGCGCCCCGCCUGGGGAGUACGAUCGCAAGAUUAAAACUCAAAGGAAUUGACGGGGCCCCGCACAAGCAGCGGAGCAUGCGGCUUAAUUCGACGCAACGCGAAGAACCUUACCAAGGCUUGACAUAUACAGGAAUACGGCAGAGAUGUCGUAGCCGCAAGGUCUGUAUACAGGUGGUGCAUGGUUGUCGUCAGCUCGUGUCGUGAGAUGUUGGGUUAAGUCCCGCAACGAGCGCAACCCUCGUUCUGUGUUGCCAGCAUUUAGUUGGGGACUCACAGGAGACUGCCGGGGUUAACUCGGAGGAAGGUGGGGAUGACGUCAAAUCAUCAUGCCCCUUAUGUCUUGGGCUGCACGCAUGCUACAAUGGCUGGUACAAACGGCUGCGAUACCGCAAGGUGGAGCGAAUCCGAGAAAGCCAGUCUCAGUUCGGAUUGGGGUCUGCAACUCGACCCCAUGAAGUCGGAGUUGCUAGUAAUCGUAGAUCAGCAACGCUACGGUGAAUACGUUCCCGGGGCUUGUACACACCACCCGUCACAUCACGAAAGUCGGUAACACCCAAAGUCAGUGGCCCAACCGCAAGGAGGGAGCUGCCAAAG